AUUAUAAGAACACACUCAAGAGAAUACAAAGGACUCUUAGGACUUAGGAUUUUAGAUACUUCAGCUUAUGGUGAACAAGCCUCACCAAGCUCCUUAUUUAUAGUGCAUAACCUAAGGAAUAUUACAUGGCAUAUUCCUUUCUUCACACUUAUCAUACAUACUUUACUUCACACCAUAAUACACAUCAAUACUUUGCUUGAUAUUUCACAUCAUGUCUUUAUUUAUUUCACAUCAAUACUUUGCUUGAUACUUCACUCCAUU
rnacentral:lncRNA from 1 species